AGACCCGAAACCCGGUGAUCUAGCCAUGGGCAGGUUGAAGGUUGGGUAACACUAACUGGAGGACCGAACCGACUAAUGUUGAAAAAUUAGCGGAUGACCUGUGGCUGGGGGUGAAAGGCCAAUCAAACCGGGAGAUAGCUGGUUCUCCCCGAAAGCUAUUUAGGUAGCGCCUCGUGAAUUCAUCUCCGGGGGUAGAGCACUGUUUCGGCUAGGGGGCCAUCCCGGCUUACCAACCCGAUGCAAACUGCGAAUACCGGAGAAUGUUAUCACGGGAGACACACGGCGGGUGCUAACGUCCGUCGUGAAGAGGGAAACAACCCAGACCGCCAGCUAAGGUCCCAAAGUCAUGGUUAAGUGGGAAACGAUGUGGGAAGGCCCAGACAGCCAGGAUGUUGGCUUAGAAGCAGCCAUCAUUUAAAGAAAGCGUAAUAGCUCACUGGUCGAGUCGGCCUGCGCGGAAGAUGUAACGGGGCUAAACCAUGCACCGAAGCUGCGGCAGCGACACUCAGGUGUUGUUGGGUAGGGGAGCGUUCUGUAAGCCUGCGAAGGUGGCCUGUGAGGGUUGCUGGAGGUAUCAGAAGUGCGAAUGCUGACAUAAGUAACGAUAAAGCGGGUGAAAAGCCCGCUCGCCGGAAGACCAAGGGUUCCUGUCCAACGUUAAUCGGGGCAGGGUGAGUCGACCCCUAAGGCGAGGCCGAAAGGCGUAGUCGAUGGGAAACGGGUUAAUAUUCCCGUACUUGGUGUUACUGCGAAGGGGGGACGGAGAAGGCUAUGUUGGCCGGGCGACGGUUGUCCCGGUUUAAGCGUGUAGGUGUGUGUUCCAGGUAAAUCCGGUUCACUUUAACACUGAGGCGUGAUGACGAGGCACUACGGUGCUGAAGCAACAAAUGCCCUGCUUCCAGGAAAAGCCUCUAAGCAUCAGGUAACAUCAAAUCGUACCCCAAACCGACACAGGUGGUCAGGUAGAGAAUACCAAGGCGCUUGAGAGAACUCGGGUGAAGGAACUAGGCAAAAUGGUGCCGUAACUUCGGGAG
rnacentral:rRNA from 1 species